rnacentral:lncRNA from 1 species
AGACACUCAAAAGAUCCUUUAGGAAGCAGCGAUUAUUUUGUUAACUUAGUGCUACAUUAAACUAAGUUUAUUCAUCUUGGCAAAAAAAUAUGGUGAUCUCCCUGGGUAUAUUUUUGUCAUCCAAGGAGCAAACUGUGGUCUAUGAAGAAAAACUGACCUGGAAAAGGAGGGCAACAUAUCCCUGCAACAGGUGUCUGCAGAGGAAAUGCUAGAAGAACAAAAGGCAGAACAGGGGACCUAGUUGGAGGCAGAAGAGAUGGAAGUUCAGGAUCUCAAGCAUUGAGAAGUCUCUCUUGCCCAAGCAGAUGUUCUCGGUGAUCAU